rnacentral:misc_RNA from 1 species
AUACAUCAAAAACAAACAGGUCAUCUUAAAAUUAUAGUUUCAGCCAAACACCCUCUAAAGCCUUCCAUUUACUGGUUCAAACCAAUGCUUAGUCCUCAAAACUUAUGAUGCAGAGUGCAAUGUAAUAAUUACAAGAAAUCAAGGGAAUAACGAUUAAAAAAAAAAAGUUUAUGAACCAAGAAGAUUUGCACAUAUAAUCCCUCCUGUGAACUUCCAUAGACCCUAUCAUUUACAGAAAUCAACGACAGAGCUGAGUACACAACCCCUGAAUCUGAGAACUUGUUGCAUCUGGCAGUGUGUAUGUGGUGGAUUUUCCAUUGGUUGUGCACGUCAAAUUUAGCUGGUUGCCGAAUUGGUUAGACAAGCAGGAAGCAGGCUCGGUGUUACAGCUCCAUUUUCCAGUAGGCACACAAGACAAAUAAUGGCACCACGAACAAUGUUCAUUUGCAUCAACUCCCCGUAGAAGCAGAACCAGGCCAAUAGUAAACCUGUUAUAGUUGGUUUAGUUUCUUGGAAAUUAGAUGUUAUCAUGUGCAAUCCAUCCCAAACAUUUAAAGGUAGAAUCAAGCAAAUAUAGGAAUCCAGAAAAGAUAGCAAGAGUCAUCAAAUAAAACAUGGGAUGUCAAGCUUUCUGUCAAACAGUUUACUCAAACUCAUAUGUAAUGUUUGGGUCAUAAAGAUCAGAAUGUCCUUGUCCUUUUCCAAUUCUCAAAAGAUCUUCUCUUAGUAUUAACCUAAACAAGGAAACAGAACUUGUGAAAAAAAAAUGAACAACAAAUCUAAGAUUUUUACCCGACAAUGACAAUGAUAAGAGAAAUGAUCCACAAUAUGCACUGAUAGGCCUUGAAUUUAGAUUUAACUGAAACUGGAAAAUAUCCACGAGAAGCAUAUCUUUGGCUAACCCAUCCAAACUGUGGGCGUAUCAGAAAUACAAACCCAAGAAAGAAACCAGAAAGAAAUCCUCCAAUA